GGUUCGAUGGCGUAAUUGGUUAUCGCAUCUGUCUAACAUAGUCAAAUCAUGACUCCGUGAACAAUGUUUGCACAGAAGGUCCCCAAUUCGAGCCUGGGUCGAAUGA